ACGAAUAUAAACUGAUUUCUAAUCACCAGGGUAAGAGAAUGCAAACAGGGUUGUAAUUAGUUCGCACUUCAGUAACGAUGACCUUAUAAUCGUCGGCGACUGAUUCGGUCCCAUACGUUCAGCAUUACAUGGCUGAAUUUGACCCUAGCUAAAAACAAACGUUAUUCUACAUUGUCUAAUCUUAAACCAAGAAAUGAUACAUGUAACAUGUGGAAAGGCUUGCGGAGAAUUAAUUAAGAUCUGGGUUACGGACGACAACUUGAAAGGAAUUUGGGCGGAAUUUUAAUGUUAUAGAUGGAAUGCCAUUCAGUUUAAUCUCAACACGAACAGUGAUCUAAGCGGAUUCUAAGCAGAUUUUGGGCUUAACUCAAAGUAUAUAUCUAUGUGUAGAAAAACAAAACAAAACCAAAACGAACUCAUGAAAUGUGUUGCUGUUCUGAUACUAUUAUUCAUGACUGCUGGUUUUGUCCGUUUCAGUGAAAUGCAUUAUAAUAAUUAAGUUGGCCUUUCUUGAAUCAGUCCACUUUUUCUGUCAUUGAAUUGUAAUGUCUAAAUGGAUAUAAAUCUCCUUAAAAACUAGUUUCUCGUCUUCUUAGAAUACCCUUAUAUUAAUUGUUCUUGACUUUGUAAACUGAAAUUCCCGUUUAAUUUUGCAGUGGGCUGGCAUCAAAAGCGGCAUUUCUGAUCUAUGCAUGAUGGGUGAUCUGAAAGUACUAGCACUUCAAAAAUUGAUUUAUCCUUAUCAUGCUCAAGAAAUUCUUGUGAAGCAGGCCAAGACUUAGGAAACUUCUGUAAUGGCCUUUAUGAACAAAUGAAUGAAAUCUAAUGUAGCACCGUUUCAAGCUUACGUGUCAGCGUCACGGAUCAUAAAUCUUUAUACUACAUGCAAAAAUAACUUGAUCUAAUAACAGCUGAUGAACUUCUUGACUAUAUAUACGUCCUACUUUGAUGGUUACAUUGCACGAAAAAAUAAGUUCUUUCUCGGCUUUAAAUCGUUACCACUCUCAGUUUACUGACAGAUUUGAAACAAGUGGGUGUUUGCACUGAAUUUCCGGGAUAAUUUAUUAUGCAUGCAACAUCAUCAUAAACUGCACACGCACAACAUACCAUGAAAAUUUUGGUAAUUUUGGUUGAUGACAGGAAAAAAUGCUAAAAACGUAGCUAAGACUUCUCGUAAGAGCCAUUCUCACCCACUGGUUUUAUUAGAACAAUGAUCAGCUCGAUCGAGCAGCGCAAUGGAGUCUUUACUCAAGCCAGUCUCUAGACGCUCUAGGUAAACGCGAAAUACACGGAAGAGCUUGGGAGCAUAUAUACGCGUUGGGUGCUUCAGUGAGGUCCUAAUCAGGAAAUUUCGCCCGAUUGAGUUGAAAGAGAACGCCUAAAUACUAGAUUGGUCUCACUGAAUCCCCAACACCUCUAUGUGAGAUAUCUAUCAGUUUGUGUGUUAUUUCUUGUCAAGCUACGACGGCCAAAGAAAUCACAAGAGUAUUUACGAUUGUUACUUAGUUAAGCGGCGCAACGCGUAACGGCAUAGUGGAGUAAUACGUAUUCGAUCAGGACAGGCCUAACAUAUUUGUAAAACACAGGUUUCCAUCUUUAUUGAGGCGCAAAACUUAUGACCCCACUUUUAGUGUUCAAUGCUCAAUAAAUACUUCAAGCUGUCAGCUAAACUGACGCCUUUGGUUUGGAGAGACGUCAUCAGACUAGUCAACCAAAAAAUAUUCAACUCCUUAGUGUAAGCAUAUAACCUUGACUACAGGGGUGCCAUAGUAAUGAAUGGCGCUCGCUCUGGAGUAGAAAAGUACCAGAGUAACACAAAACAGCUGGUGUUAGUCAUAAAGUUGGCAAGCGAAGUCGAAAAAUCUAGCAUACGGGUCUAGCAGGCAACUAAAUCGUUGCUAAUUGCUGGCGCCUUUUAUAAAGGAAAGAAACCUCAUGAUUGUAGAUUACUAUCAUUAGAAUACGCCGCCAAAGAUGCUGUAUGGUGUUAAGAAGAUUUAGACGGGCUAUAGGAUCUGUCGACUGAAUUGGAUCGCAUUUAAAGUCAUACUUCAUCCGUGGCGCUGAAACGAACCAACGAAAGCUAGCGCUAGUUAACGCGUCUUCACAACACUGAUCAGCUUUUCCUAUGUUUCUCAAAUAAGCGCAUUUCACUGGAAUUUCAUGAGCAUGUUGUUCAAAUGAAAUUUCUAUGUGUGCUGUUUGUGUAUCCAAGCUGUGUUUACACAAGACUGCUUUGAUAAACUUCCACAUCACCAUUAUGCGUGAGGGAUUGGUUAAAAAUUCAGCCGUUGUUAUCAAGGUAACGUUGGAAUGUUAGUCUUCCUAACAGAAGUUUUCUAUCAGUUUUUGUUUUAUUUCCAGAUAAACUUGGUAGGUGUGCUAAGGUCGUACCAGGAGAAGAGAAAAAUUCGUCAAAAGCUUGGAUCAUUCGGUGCUAAGAAACUCUUGGCGGCAGGCAGGUGUUGAUUUUGUGACGGUGUAGCGGAACUUCCAGAGCAAGAAGUGUUACAGACAUGAUAAACUUGUUUCUCGUCCUGUUCUUUGGUUUCAAGCACAAUACGGUUUCUGCUGAAGAUUUGGGAGCUGUUUCUACCUGCUUACCAACACACAUGCGGAUGGAAGUGGACCGAACCAAAAAUCCCGACCUUGUGCCUGGGGAAAUGCAUCUUAAUGACCCCAACUACACUGCCACAGAAUUCAAUGACACCUUUGUCCUGUUUGAAAUACCACUGGAUGGCUGUGGAACAACACGAGAUGGAUCAAACCCAGACUAUUUACUUUUCUCUAAUACUGCUCACUGGGAUUCGCCAGGACAGCUUAUAACUUAUACAAAAGGAUUUAAGGCUCACAUCACUUGCAGAUACUCUAGACAUGGAUCUGUUGGUGUACGUGUGAGAGUUGUGCCUGAAACAGAGGAACCUCCAACAGAUCCAAAGGGUAAAUCCUGAUCAGCUUUUUCUCUUUUUGCGCAAUGUGAUUGGUGCAUAGAUUACUGCAAUCUGCAACUUAA